rnacentral:rRNA from 1 species
CCUACGGGAGGCUGCAGUCGAGAAUCAUUCACAAUGGGGGAAACCCUGAUGGUGCGACGCCGCGUGGGGGAAUGAAGGUCUUCGGAUUGUAAACCCCUGUCAUGUGGGAGCAAAUUAAAAAGAUAGUACCACAAGAGGAAGAGACGGCUAACUCUGUGCCAGCAGCCGCGGUAAUACAGAGGUCUCAAGCGUUGUUCGGAAUCACUGGGCGUAACGCGUGCGUAGGCUGUUUCGUAAGCCGUGUGUGAAAGGCGCGGGCUCAACCCGCGGACGGCACAUGAUACUGCGAGACUAGAGUAAUGGAGGGGGAACCGGAAUUCUCGGUGUAGCAGUGAAAUGCGUAGAUAUCGAGAGGAACACUCGUGGCGAAGGCGGGUUCCUGGACAUUAACUGACGCUGAGGCACGAAGGCCAUGGGGAGCGAAAGGGAUUAGAUACCCUAGUAGUC